AAACCGCAUGGUUUUGAUUUGAAAGGCGCUUUCGGGUGUCGCUGAUGGAUGGACCCGCGGUGCAUUAGCUAGUUGGUGAGGUAACGGCUCACCAAGGCCACGAUGCAUAGCCGACCUGAGAGGGUGAUCGGCCACAUUGGGACUGAGACACGGCCCAAACUCCUACGGGAGGCAGCAGUAGGGAAUCUUCGGCAAUGGACGAAAGUCUGACCGAGCAACGCCGCGUGAGUGAAGAAGGUUUUCGGAUCGUAAAACUCUGUUGUUAGAGAAGAACAAGGAUGAGAGUAACUGUUCAUCCCUUGACGGUAUCUAACCAGAAAGCCACGGCUAACUACGUGCCAGCAGCCGCGGUAAUACGUAGGUGGCAAGCGUUGUCCGGAUUUAUUGGGCGUAAAGCGAGCGCAGGCGGUUUCUUAAGUCUGAUGUGAAAGCCCCCGGCUCAACCGGGGAGGGUCAUUGGAAACUGGGAGACUUGAGUGCAGAAGAGGAGAGUGGAAUUCCAUGUGUAGCGGUGAAAUGCGUAGAUAUAUGGAGGAACACCAGUGGCGAAGGCGGCUCUCUGGUCUGUAACUGACGCUGAGGCUCGAAAGCGUGGGGAGCAAACAGGAUUAGAUACCCUGGUAGUCCACGCCGUAAACGAUGAGUGCUAAGUGUUGGAGGGUUUCCGCCCUUCAGUGCUGCAGCUAACGCAUUAAGCACUCCGCCUGGGGAGUACGACCGCAAGGUUGAAACUCAAAGGAAUUGACGGGGGCCCGCACAAGCGGUGGAGCAUGUGGUUUAAUUCGAAGCAACGCGAAGAACCUUACCAGGUCUUGACAUCCUUUGACCACUCUAGAGAUAGAGCUUCCCCUUCGGGGGCAAAGUGACAGGUGGUGCAUGGUUGUCGUCAGCUCGUGUCGUGAGAUGUUGGGUUAAGUCCCGCAACGAGCGCAACCCUUAUUGUUAGUUGCCAUCAUUCAGUUGGGCACUCUAGCAAGACUGCCGGUGACAAACCGGAGGAAGGUGGGGAUGACGUCAAAUCAUCAUGCCCCUUAUGACCUGGGCUACACACGUGCUACAAUGGGAAGUACAACGAGUCGCGAAGUCGCGAGGCUAAGCUAAUCUCUUAAAGCUUCUCUCAGUUCGGAUUGCAGGCUGCAACUCGCCUGCAUGAAGCCGGAAUCGCUAGUAAUCGCGGAUCAGCACGCCGCGGUGAAUACGUUCCCGGGCCUUGUACACACCGCCCGUCACACCACGAGAGUUUGUAACACCCGAAGUCGGUGAGGUAACCUUUU
rnacentral:rRNA from 1 species